AACGCUAGCUACAGGCUUAACACAUGCAAGUCGAGGGGCAGCAUGGUCUUAGUUUGCUAAGGCCGAUGGCGACCGGCGCACGGGUGAGUAACACGUAUCCAACCUGCCGUCUACUCUUGGACAGCCUUCUGAAAGGAAGAUUAAUACAAGAUGGCAUCAUGAGUCCGCAUGUUCACAUGAUUAAAGGUAUUCCGGUAGACGAUGGGGAUGCGUUCCAUUAGAUAGUAGGCGGGGUAACGGCCCACCUAGUCUUCGAUGGAUAGGGGUUCUGAGAGGAAGGUCCCCCACAUUGGAACUGAGACACGGUCCAAACUCCUACGGGAGGCAGCAGUGAGGAAUAUUGGUCAAUGGGCGAGAGCCUGAACCAGCCAAGUAGCGUGAAGGAUGACUGCCCUAUGGGUUGUAAACUUCUUUUAUAAAGGAAUAAAGUCGGGUAUGGAUACCCGUUUGCAUGUACUUUAUGAAUAAGGAUCGGCUAACUCCGUGCCAGCAGCCGCGGUAAUACGGAGGAUCCGAGCGUUAUCCGGAUUUAUUGGGUUUAAAGGGAGCGUAGAUGGAUGUUUAAGUCAGUUGUGAAAGUUUGCGGCUCAACCGUAAAAUUGCAGUUGAUACUGGAUAUCUUGAGUGCAGUUGAGGCAGGCGGAAUUCGUGGUGUAGCGGUGAAAUGCUUAGAUAUCACGAAGAACUCCGAUUG
rnacentral:rRNA from 1 species